UAAGAGAGAAGUAGCUGGGAGAUGCUAGUGAAGAGAGCUGGCCCAGAGGGAUGACUGAUGAGAACUGUUAGAGAAAACUGGCCAGAGCUGGGGAGCCUUGUUGAGUAAAAGGCUUCCGCAGGGACCCUAGAUCAUUUGUGCUGGGGACUGCAGGAGAAGAGUUCCAAGAAGCCCUGAGAAUUGCCUGGGGUGUGAGGGCCCAGGAAUAGGGGCACAGGAACUGAAGAAGAGGGACUGUUAACAGGUUGCCUUACCCUGAGGGAUCUGCUGAUAGUUGCACAUACAUACAAAUAAUGCAGGGAAGCAGGCUUGAAUUGGACUCUAAGAGGGACAACAUUCCUUUCCUGGGUGGCAAAGGUGACCCUCAGUCUGAUGUUUGGUGGAAAAGAUGGGCAUCUUCAUUAGUCCCAGGGAAUGUAGGGGAAACCGAGGCAGGAUAUGGCCGCAGUUGGAUGUAGGAAGAUGCCCUAGUGGGCUGUGGGGGUAAGCCCAGUUAUGAUGUCCCACCCUUUUUUGAACCUUGUUAAAUUCUUGGCCUUGACAACUUCCUGCGUUAAUGAGGUAACGAGUUCCACAGUCUAACCCCAGUUUAAAUAAACCGUAUUUAUCUGCUUUGAAUUCCAUUGACUAAUGUCCCCUUGUUUUGUGUUAUGAAACAGGGAGAGCACAAGUUCUCAGCCUACCUUCUCUGUGCCAUUCAUUAUUUUAUAUACUUUCGUUAUGUCUGCUCUUAUUUGUCCCCUUUCCAAGGAAAAUAGUCCAAGUCUCUUUAUAGGAAAGCUUUUUCCAGAUCUUUGAUCAGACUCAUUGCUCUUCUCUGAGCCCCUGUAGCUGUGUAAUCCCCCUCUGGACAUGAGGUGACUUGAACUGUGGGCUCUGUUCCAGCUGAAGCAGCACCACUGAUUUAUAUAAAGGCAU